rnacentral:rRNA from 1 species
GAAGACUUUGCCGGAUUAGCUGAGAGUGGUGCAUGGCCGUCGUCAGUUCGUACUGUGAAGCAUCCUGUUAAGUCAGGCAACGAGCGAGACCCACGCCCACAGUUGCCAGCGUACUCUCUGGAGUGACGGGUACACUGUGGGGACCGCCGCUGCUAAAGCGGAGGAAGGAAUGGGCAACGGUAGGUCAGUAUGCCCCGAAUAUCCCGGGCUACACUCGAGCUACAAUGGUUGGUACAAUGGGUAUCUACCCCGAAAGGGGACGGGAAUCUCCUAAAACCAAUCUUAGUUCGGAUUGAGGGCUGCAACUCGCCCUCAUGAAGCUGGAAUCCGUAGUAAUCGCGUUUCAACAGAACGCGGUGAAUACGUCCCUGCUCCUU